GAACUGCUAACUACAUUACAGAAAGAUGACUACCAGAAUAAUGGACGCAUGGACGAAAGCGGUCUUCAUCGACUUCGUCGACGGACGAACAACAUUAUAGCCAAGAUUAUCCAAUCUUAAGCAUGUUUAAUUUUCCAAGAACAAGAAGAUUAUUCUGAAUAUUAGAGCUAGUGCCUUCACCAUCACUGCCUUCCUGUGGGAGAAGGUGAGAAAGCCAAACUUCCCGUGGUAGUUCCCCAUGCCGCUCGUACCGACACCUCCGAACGGCAGCGUGGGCAAAGCCAUCUGCAUCAUGGUGUCAUUUCCGCAGACACUCCCGCUGGACGUACGCUGUACGAUGUCGUGGAUAACCUGGAAGUAAACGAAGGCAUACAGCGCAAGCGGCUUGUCUCUACUGUUGAUGAAACGAACGGCGUCAUCUGCACUCUCUGCGGUCACGAUCGGCAGGACGGGGCCGAAGAUUUCCGCCUCCAUCAGUGCAUCGGUUGGUUUGACGUCCUUUACCACGGUGGGGCUGAUGUACAGGUCCUUCUCG